rnacentral:rRNA from 1 species
AGGAUGAACGCUAGCGGCAGGCUUAAUACAUGCAAGUCGUGGGGCAGCAUGGUGUAGCAAUACACUGAUGGCGACCGGCAAACGGGUGCGGAACACGUACGCAACCUUCCUUUAACUGGAGAAUAGCCCGGGGAAACCCGGAUUAAUACUCCGUAACAUUAUGAAGUGGCAUCACUUUAUAAUUAUAGCUCCGGCGGUUGAAGAUGGGCGUGCGUCUGAUUAGGUAGUUGGCGGGGUAACGGCCCACCAAGCCUACGAUCAGUAACUGGUGUGAGAGCACGACCAGUCACACGGGGCACUGAGACACGGGCCCGACUCCUACGGGAGGCAGCAGUAAGGAUAUUGGUCAAUGGACGCAAGUCUGAACCAGCCAUGCCGCGUGGAGGAUGAAGGUCCUCUGGAUUGUAAACUUCUUUUAUUGGGAAGAACCCCCGAUUUCUAUUGGGGUUGACGGUACCAGAUGAAUAAGCACCGGCUAACUCCGUGCCAGCAGCCGCGGUAAUCGUGA